AACGAACGCUGGCGGCAGGCUUAACACAUGCAAGUCGAACGCCCCGCAAGGGGAGUGGCAGACGGGUGAGUAACGCGUGGGAACAUACCCUUUCCUGCGGAAUAGCUCCGGGAAACUGGAAUUAAUACCGCAUACGCCCUACGGGGGAAAGAUUUAUCGGGGAAGGAUUGGCCCGCGUUGGAUUAGCUAGUUGGUGGGGUAAAGGCCUACCAAGGCGACGAUCCAUAACUGGUCUGAGAGGAUGAUCAGCCACAUUGGGACUGAGACACGGCCCAAACUCCUACGGGAGGCAGCAGUGGGGAAUAUUGGACAAUGGGCGCAAGCCUGAUCCAGCCAUGCCGCGUGAGUGAUGAAGGCCUUAGGGUUGUAAAGCUCUUUCACCGAUGAAGAUAAUGACGGUAGUCGGAGAAGAAGCCCCGGCUAACUUCGUGCCAGCAGCCGCCGUAAUAC
rnacentral:rRNA from 1 species